rnacentral:rRNA from 1 species
GACGAACGCUGGCGGCGUGCUUAACACAUGCAAGUCGAACGGAAAGGCCCUGCUUUUGUGGGGUGCUCGAGUGGCGAACGGGUGAGUAACACGUGAGUAACCUGCCCUUGACUUUGGGAUAACUUCAGGAAACUGGGGCUAAUACCGGAUAGGAGCUCCUGCUGCAUGGUGGGGGUUGGAAAGUUUCGGCGGUUGGGGAUGGACUCGCGGCUUAUCAGCUUGUUGGUGGGGUAGUGGCUUACCAAGGCUUUGACGGGUAGCCGGCCUGAGAGGGUGACCGGCCACAUUGGGACUGAGAUACGGCCCAGACUCCUACGGGAGGCAGCAGUGGGGAAUAUUGCACAAUGGGCGGAAGCCUGAUGCAGUAACGCCGCGUGCGGGAUGACGGCCUUCGGGUUGUAAACCGCUUUCGCCUGUGACGAAGCGUGAGUGACGGUAAUGGGGAAAGAAGCACCGGCUAACUACGU